rnacentral:pre_miRNA from 1 species
GUGGUAGAGGGGAGGUCCCUCAGCCUGGAUUGCGAGAGGGUUCAGGCCAGGCCAAGAGACUCCACCGGUGCAGG